rnacentral:rRNA from 1 species
UACGGGGGGGGCAAGCGUUGUUCGGAAUUACUGGGCGUAAAGGGCUCGUAGGCGGCCAACUAAGUCGGAUGUGAAAUCCCCAAGCUUAACUUGGGAACUGCAUCCGAUACUGGAUGGCUUGAAUCCGGGAGAGGGAUGCAGAAUUCCAGGUGUAGCGGUGAAAUACGUAGAUAUCUGGAGGAAUACCGGUGGCGAAGGCGGCAUCCUGGACCGGCAUUGACGCUGAGGAGCGAAAGCUAGGGGAGCAAACGGG